rnacentral:rRNA from 1 species
GCGGCGGACGGGUGAGUAAUGCCUAGGAAUCUGCCUGGUAGUGGGGGACAACGUUUCGAAAGGAACGCUAAUACCGCAUACGUCCUACGGGAGAAAGCAGGGGACCUUCGGGCCUUGCGCUAUCAGAUGAGCCUAGGUCGGAUUAGCUAGUUGGUGAGGUAAUGGCUCACCAAGGCGACGAUCCGUAACUGGUCUGAGAGGAUGAUCAGUCACACUGGAACUGAGACACGGUCCAGACUCCUACGGGAGGCAGCAGUGGGGAAUAUUGGACAAUGGGCGAAAGCCUGAUCCAGCCAUGCCGCGUGUGUGAAGAAGGUCUUCGGAUUGUAAAGCACUUUAAGUUGGGAGGAAGGGCAGUAAAUUAAUACUUUGCUGUUUUGACGUUACCGACAGAAUAAGCACCGGCUAACUCUGUGCCAGCAGCCGCGGUAAUACAGAGGGUGCAAGCGUUAAUCGGAAUUACUGGGCGUAAAGCGCGCGUAGGUGGUUCGUUAAGUUGGAUGUGAAAUCCCCGGGCUCAACCUGGGAACUGCAUUCAAAACUGUCGAGCUAGAGUAUGGUAGAGGGUGGUGGAAUUUCCUGUGUAGCGGUGAAAUGCGUAGAUAUAGGAAGGAACACCAGUGGCGAAGGCGACCACCUGGACUGAUACUGACACUGAGG